AUACGAAGGGGGCAAGCGUUGUUCGGAAUAACUGGGCGUAAAGCGCACGUAGGCGGAAUGUUAAGUUAGAGGUGAAAUCCCAGGGCUCAACCCUGGAACGGCCUUUAAUACUGGCAAUCUAGAGACCGAGAGAGGUGAGUGGAAUUCCGAGUGUAGAGGUGAAAUUCGUAGAUAUUCGGAGGAACACCAGUGGCGAAGGCGGCUCACUGGCUCGGUACUGACGCUGAGGUGCGAAAGCGUGGGUAGCGAACAGGAUUAGAAACCCUAGUAGUCC
rnacentral:rRNA from 1 species